rnacentral:rRNA from 1 species
GACGAACGCUGGCGGCGUGCUUAACACAUGCAAGUCGAACGAUGAACAGGAGCUUGCUCCUGGGAUUAGUGGCGAACGGGUGAGUAACACGUGAGUAACCUGCCCUUGACUCUGGGAUAAGCGUUGGAAACGACGUCUAAUACCGGAUACGUGCUGCGGCCGCAUGGCCUGCAGUUGGAAAGAAUUUCGGUCAAGGAUGGACUCGCGGCCUAUCAGGUUGUUGGUGAGGUAAUGGCUCACCAAGCCUACGACGGGUAGCCGGCCUGAGAGGGAGACCGGCCACACUGGGACUGAGACACGGCCCAGACUCCUACGGGAGGCAGCAGUGGGGAAUAUUGCACAAUGGGCGAAAGCCUGAUGCAGCAACGCCGCGUGAGGGAUGACGGCCUUCGGGUUGUAAACCUCUUUUAGUAGGGAAGAAGCGAAAGUGACGGUACCUGCAGAAAAAGCACCGGCUAACUACGUGCCAGCCGCCGCCGUAAAAC